rnacentral:lncRNA from 1 species
AAGCCUGUGUGGCUUCCUCAACAAUGUGGACAUAGGCAAGCCUUGGUGGUGAGUUGAACCAUGGGAUAAAUACCUUCUCUCUUGUGUUCUUGCUAUUUGUGUUGUUCUCUACUUGUUUAUUUGUGAUUCUAGGGUUUGGUCUUGAUCUAUAAAUUGUGGCUCUCUAAGGUUAAGGAAGCACUUGGAUAACUUCAUCUUACCACUAGGAAGUGGGGUUGUAAGUUAUUCGCUUCACAAAGUUUAUU